AGGGGUACCAGAAAUAGCACUUUGGUAAAUAUAAAAGACAAUAUGUAUUUCCUCUGAAGUUCUUUAAAGAUAACUAAUUAAAGCAAAUAUUACAACAUUAUUGUGGCAUUUAUAAAGCAUGUAGAAGCCACCCUCCCCUGUAGG